rnacentral:rRNA from 1 species
GACGUAGGUGGCGAACGUUAUUCGGAAUUAUUGGGCGUAAAGGGCGCGUAGGCGGCCUGGCAAGUGGAAGGUGAAAUCCCUCGGCUUAACCGAGGAACUGCCCUCCAAACUGCUUGGCUUGAGUCCGGGAGAGGUGAGUGGAAUUCCCAGUGUAGCGGUGAAAUGCGUAGAUAUGUGGAGGAACACCAAUGGCGAAGGCAGCCUUCUGGGCCAACACUGACGCUCAUGCACGAAAGCGUGGGGAGCAAACGGG